ensembl:lincRNA
GCUGCUGUCCCCCACCUGGUCUCACUGAUUCCUGGAGUUGGAGAGCUGGGGAAGGGGAGCCCUGCUGUGUGAAUCCGGCACUGGGCAGGAACGAGCCUCUCUGAGAUCCCUGCUUCUCUUCCUGCCCCUCAGCCCUGGGGCCUGCCGGUUUUUAUCAUUCUGGUAUGGCCCCGCAAGCACUGGGAUUUCUACCCAGUCCAAGUAACCCUCUGCGACGGGGUCCUUGGAUCCUGCCUGUGUGCACAGGGUAUGCAGGUGGAGGGGAAGGGGCACAGCUGGACCCCAGCCCUGUCCUCCCGAUCCUGCUCUGCUCCUGUGCCUGUUGCCCCUCCCGUCUGCGGGCCACUUGGUGUCCGGGUGCUGCUGGGAAGUCGUUCAUCACCCCUCUGCAUGGCGGCAGGUGGAGAAGGCUGUGCCCAGCGGCGUGGGAAGGAGGUCACCAGUAAAGGCGACCUGUCAGCAGCCACGGGAUGACACCGAGAGUCUGGCCGAAAGCCUCGGGCCUGGGCAGCAGAACUCCUUCUCUGUUCAGUGCUGCUGGCUGGCAAGGAGCUUUCCCGCUGUACCUCGCCUGCUGCAGAGGGGACUCAAGCGGCCCCUCCCUGUUUCACAAACCAGAAGCUGGAGCUCCAUGCAGAGGUCUCACUGCGCACUGGCAGGGGCCCAGGAAACAACGGCGCUGAAGCGGUGGGUGGCAGACAGCAUCAGCCUUCGGGAGGAGGGACCUCUGCACCGCUGCCCGCCAGCCCUGGUGACCCGUCGCCCUCCCUAUGUCUGCUCAUCUCCUGCUGAGGACUUCCUGUUUAUCACAGCAAGCCGCUGGCUGACGGCCUCUGUGUUGAGGCAUACGUCUCUAUUUUCCUUUGGGGGCUGCUGCUCCAAUUUUGACAUUGUGGCUGUUGUUAGUCCCUGUGACUUAUCCUCUAAUUCCAGAAAAGCCUGCAGAAUAUGAGUCUCAUUUGUCUUUGCAGGACCCCCAGCCCCCAGUUCAGGAGACGCUCGGUAGCGAUUUGUCUGUGGAGGGAGUUCCUCGGGAGUUAGCCAGGUAACCCCCGGCCCAUGUGCGAUGCACCCGGCUGGCUGCCACUUGCACCAUCGUCCUGCACAAGCGCCCCAGAGCCAAUGAAGGGGCAACAGCAGCAGCGGGGCCUCAGCCCCCAGUGCCAGAUGUGCUGACACAAACUCGCCGCAGGCAGAGGUUUUUACCCAGGGGAGGGCUAGUAACAGGCUCAGUUCUUGGGCUUGAGGAGAGGAUGCUCAAUCUCAUUGGGUCAAUUUAAAUAAUCUUACUUCCUGUGCUCCUCCAGUCACUUUGGAAUAGCAAAAGCAAGAGGCACAGCGGAACUCCGUGGACCAGCCCUCUGGUACCGGCGUGGGCCCUGUGGAAGGGCCACUCCUAGGAAGUAGCCUCCUCCUGCUCUUCUUUUGGCGUCCUGGCUCCUCACAUGUGAGGACUCCCCGGGUGUCUGGGAGAGCCCUGCGGCUCACUGUGGGCUCCUGUGCUGGGCUCUCAAGCGAAGGUGUGCGUGGGGCAGACCUGGGUCAGCAUCGCCUCAGGUCCGUGCCACGCUCGGCUCUGACGAGGCCAGGGGCGGUGUUCGGAGGCUGCCGCCUCCCCACUGCUCUGGCUCUGCCCCCUUUCUGUUCUCACCGUGCCGGCAGGAGUUGAGCGUGUUGGGUGUGAGAGAUGCGGGUGGAGUGCCCUGGGCAGGGGCACCGUGAGCUCAGCUCUUUCACUAACAGCUCGAGCUGCAGGGCCGGCCCAGCCGGGCUUUGAAUCCUUUCCUCUCAGAGGGAGGAACGCUCCUUUGGUUCUACGCUGACUCACUGUCCAUGGGCCUGUCUGUCCCUACAGCAGCUCGUCCAGCUUCUGUGGCCAGCGAGGCUCCUAAUUGGUGUCCUCCCUUGAGCGCGCUGGGUGCCCCUUGUGUCCGCAGAUGGGGAGGCAGAGGAGGCCGCAGGAGAGGCGGGGUGCCCAGAGAGACCAGAGGUAUGAGCUGGAGCUGGCCCGCACUUCUCCUGGCCUUUCACCGUGCGGACGGCUUGCCCCAGAGUACACAAACCCGCAGACAGAAUCCCAGCUCUGUUUGAGCAGGGCGCAGACAAAGCCUGCCCCGGCCGCGCUGCUCCCGCCAUGGUAACCACCGCAUUCAGUGGACCAUGGUAGCAGGCAAGUAUGUGCACGACCGUCUUGGCCUCUCUGUCUCUUCCCACAGGCAGACGGUGUGUGAAUGUUGUGUCCAUGUUUUCUUUCUUAUCCUGACAUAUUU